rnacentral:rRNA from 1 species
UACAGAGGUGGCAAGCGUUGUUCGGAAUUACUGGGCGUAAAGGGCGCGUAGGCGGCCUACUAAGUCAGACGUGAAAUCCCCCGGCUUAACCUGGGAACUGCGUCUGAUACUGGAAGGCUUGAGGAUGGGAGAGGGAUGUAGAAUUCCAGGUGUAGCGGUGAAAUGCGUAGAUAUCGGGAGGAACACCUGUGGCGAAAGCGGCGCACUGGACCACAACUGACGCUGAGGCGCGAAAGCUAGGGGAGCAAACAGG